rnacentral:lncRNA from 1 species
CUACUCUACGGUGCAUGUCUGGGCUAGAUGCAAAGCAAGGAACACAGUGGCAAUGGAAGAUGGGGGGUGUAUGAGUCACACAGCAAUGGGAAGAGCCAUACAGAGAGACCUAGAUCUCAGGGAACAAACCUGCUCAGUUUCCGGGCUACGAGGAACUGCGUGGGACUUUCAAACACUAAGAAUGUGACAGUCUCAGGAUACACAGUGUUUUAAGGCCGAAGUUAAUGCAACUGUGAUCACUAAGGAAUGGUGAACUAGUGUCCUCCACACCACAACAUCCACACCCAGAAGUCCUCUGGGGAACAUAACAGCACAGGGCACAAGACACUGUACGUCCACCAACUUUGUGAUUCAGCACAACAGAGCGGAAAACUCAGAAGCCAGGGGCCACAGGCCAGAGGAACUUUGCAGUGAGCCCAGGGAACAGACAGAGGCCACCAUAAUCCUGUGAUAUUGAUCCUGAAAAGGUGGUGAGCCCAGUGAGGCCAAAAAACUAACAAACAAACC